GACGUAGGGUCCGAGCGUUGUCCGGAGUUACUGGGCGUAAAGGGCGCGUAGGCGGCUUUGUGCGUCACCCGUGAAAGCCCCCGGCUCAACCGGGGGAGGGUCGGGUGAAACGGCGGAGCUGGAGGCAGCGAGAGGCUGGUGGAAUUCCCGGAGUAGUGGUGAAAUGCGUAGAGAUCGGGAGGAACACCGGUGGCGAAGGCGGCCAGCUGGCGCUGACCUGACGCUGAGGCGCGAAGGCGUGGGGAGCGAACGGG
rnacentral:rRNA from 1 species